rnacentral:lncRNA from 1 species
AUGGAAUGUUAUCACAAGAGAUACGAAAAAACUUGGUUAUGAUUGCGAACCAGCAAGCGUUGCAAUUCCUUCGCUGUAUAAUCCUACGACUGCUGCCACCUCGGUACGUUCCGCAGAUGAUGGCGAGAAUGGAUCUAUGUUGAAAGAAAGUCAAACCGCGAUAGAGUGAGAAUGAUCCAGUGGAACUGAAAAGGUCCCGUUGAUUAGUAGUGAGUUUGGCAAACGCAACGGCGCGUCAAUGAAGACGUGAAUCGUUAUCGUCAACACUAGAAUUUUACAAGACAAAGACAACUAUAAAUUAUAUUCCCUUGAUAAUUGUAGUUACGUCAUAGAUCCCCAAACUGCUACAUUAUUUACAUAUCAUUUUCACGCCUCAUAACCACGCCAAAAUGUCGAUGAACGACUAAGAUUCAUUGACACUGGCCUUUCACGAAAUCUGCCCCCCCUUGCCUUAACAUCGUUCCGGCGUCCCUGGGCACUGGUAUUUUCAUUUUAUAAAUGGAAAGCCUAAUUGAUCCCAUUCAGAAACUUUUAAUACUGCUGUCGUGAAAUUUUGCAUCAAGAUAGAUCCAGAUCGUCGCUAUUGGGCCUGAAAUUUUGGUGAGCGUAGCGUUCUUGCUGAGAUAUAAGAGUUUAGUUUUAGUCACUGGAAUACAUGUACAAUUUUCACAAUAUUUAGACCGUUCAAAAUCGAAAAGCGGAAUUGAUCCCGUUCAGCAACUGUUAAAACUUCUGUCAUGAAAUUGUGCAUUUAGAUAUUUCCAGACUGUCGCUUUUGACCUGAAAUUUUGGUGAGCGUAGCGUUCAAUCUCGGUGAGAUAUAAGAGCUUCGUUUUGGUUUUUUGAGUUUUGAACGAUUUCAAUAUUGUAAAAAUUGUACAUGUAUUCCCGCCACCAAAAUUAAUAUCUUAUAUCUCAGCGACUUUGAAAGACGCCUUCACCAAACUUUCAGGCCAAAUAGGCGAGGACCUGCACCUAUUGCCAUGUAAAAUUUCAUGACAGCAAUAUUAAUAGUUUCUGAAUGGGACCACUCUGCUUUUCGAUUUUGAACGAACUAAAUGUUGUGAAAAUUUUACAUAUUUUCCAGCGACCAAAAUUAAGCUCUUAUAUCUCAGCAACUUUCAAUGCCACCUUCACAAAACUUUCAGGCCAAAUAGCGAGGACCUGCAGCUAUCGCCAUGCAUGCAAAAUGUAAUAACAGCAAUGUUAAUAGUUUCUGAAUGGGAUCAAUACUAGAUUCCCCUUAUUACGUUUUCGAAGCACUUUGCAUUGUGGUUAUAGUGGUAUAACUGAUAAAGAUAGCGGCCUCGAAUGAAAAUAUUGAAUGUAUUCGCGAAUAUUUUGCUGUUGGCUAUCGCGCACCUGACCCUAGCUUUUUUAAAAGUUCUUGCACGGGUCAGGACAAAAAAUAAGCCAUCUUGAAUAUCAGUGAUACCACUAUAACCACAAUGCAAAGCACUACGAAAACGUAAUAAGGGGAAUUGUCAAAUCUGCUUUUCGAUUUUGAACGAUCUAAAUAUUGUGAAAAUUGCACAUGUAUUCCCGUGACAAAAUUAAGCUCUUAUAUUAUCUCAGCGACUUUGAAUGCCACUUUCUAUCUAUCUUCUAUCUUCCAAUACAGCAAACCCCUCAGUAUGAGGAUUAUUAGCUGGGGUCAGCAGAAUAUACAUGUUGCUAACCCAAAGGAAAAGUUAAUAAUAAUAAACUAUUUAAAGUUAAGAUAAUAGAAAGUUAAAUAAUAGAAAAACUAUAAAAAAAACCUAGAGCGGUUCCGAGAUCGGGAGCUUCGCCAGAAUACCCGAUCGCCACGUAGGCACAGUCUCCAAGGGAAAUUGGAAUUUCUCUGCUAACAUGUGCGUUAUUGACGAUCAAACCCCUAAACAGAGCCCUCGAUCCCCAGGCUCGGCUGAGGGUCGCAAUAACACACUAAACAUUGCUAGAAUGAGACAGUGGUGAAAUACGCUGACGAAGUGUGUCAGUUGUGUUGCAAUUUGUAAAAAUGUUUGAAG